UACAUGGGGUGCAAACGUUGCUCGGAAUUAUUGGGCGUAAAGCGCGCGUAGGCGGUUACUCAAGUCGGAUGUGAAAGCCCUCGGCUUAACUGAGGAAGUGCACCCGAAACUGAGUAGCUAGAGUACUAAAGAGGGUCGCGGAAUUCCCGGUGUAGAGGUGAAAUUCGUAGAUAUCUGGAGGAACACCGGUGGCGAAGGCGGCAUCCUGGACCAUUACUGACACUGAAAAGCGAAAGCCAGGGGAGCAAACGGG
rnacentral:rRNA from 1 species